GACGAACGCUGGCGGCGUGCUUAACACAUGCAAGUGAAGAGAAGUGGCGAACGGGUGAGUAACACGUGAGUAACCUGCCCCUUCUUCUGGAUAACUGCUUGAAAGGGUAGCUAAUACGGUAUAGUGGGGGAUGGGCUCGAGGCCUAUAAGCUGGUUGGUGGGGUUAUGGUCUACCAAGGCGGUGACGGGUAGCCGGCCUGAGAGGAUGACCAGCCACACUGGAACUGAGACACGGUCCAGACUCCUACGGGAGGCAGCAUUGGGGAAUAUUGCACAAUGGGCGCAAGCCUGAUGCAGCCAUGCCGCGUGUAUGAAGAAGGCCUUCGGGUUGUAAAGUACUUUCAGCGAGGAGGCGUUACUCGCAGAAGAAGCACCGGCUAACUCCGUGCCAGCCGCCGCGGUAAUAC
rnacentral:rRNA from 1 species